rnacentral:rRNA from 1 species
UAAUACGGAGGGGGCCAGCGUUGUUCGGAAUCAUUGGGCGUAAAGGGCGCGUAGGCGGCCGACCAAGUCGGAGGUGAAAUCCCUCGGCUCAACUGAGGAACUGCCUCCGAUACUGUUCGGCUUGAGUCCCGGAGAGGGUAGUGGAAUUCCGAGUGUAGCGGUGAAAUGCGUAGAGACUCGGAAGAACACCAGUGGCGAAGGCGGCUACCUGGACGGGUACUGACGCUGAAGCGCGAAAGCUAGGGGAGCAAACAGGAUUAGAUACCCUGGUAGUCCUAGCUGUAAACGAUGGGCACUUGGUGUUGCGGGUAUCGACCCCUGCAGUGCCGAAGCUAACGCAUUAAGUGCCCCGCCUGGGGAGUACGGUCGCAAGGCUG